rnacentral:rRNA from 1 species
ACAAUGGAGAGUUUGAUCCUGGCUCAGGAUGAACGCUAGCGGCAGGCCUAAUACAUGCAAGUCGGACGGGAUUGAGGAGCUUGCUUCUCAUGAGAGUGGCGCACGGGUGCGUAACACGUAUGUAACCUACCUUAGUCAGGGGGAUAGCCUCUCGAAAGAGAGAUUAACACCGCAUAACAUUAUGAUAUGGCAUCAUAUUAUAAUCAAAUAUUUAUAGGACUAAGAUGGGCAUGCGGAACAUUAGCUAGUUGGUAAGGUAACGGCUUACCAAGGCUUUGACGGGUAGGUGGUCUGAGAGGAUGGUCACCCACACUGGGACUGAGACACUGCCCAGACUCCUGCGGGAGGCUGCAGUCGAGAAUCUUCCGCAAUGCGCGAAAGCGUGACGGAGCAAUGCCGCGUGAGGGAUGAAGGCUUUCGGGUCGUAAACCUCUGUCAGAAGGGAAAAAUUAUGAUUGUACCUUCAGAGGAAGCC